CUAAACCUAACGUUGCCCAGCAGCCCGCGGGUAAUACCGUAGGGGGUGCGGAGCGUUAUCCCGGGAAUUAUUGGGCGUAAAGAGCUCGUUAGGGCGGGUUUGUCGCGUCAGUCGUGAAAGUCCGGGGGCUUAACCCCGGAUCUGCGGUGGGUACGGGCAGACUAGAGUUGCAGUAGGGGAGACUGGAAUUCCUGGUGUAGCGGUGGAAUGCGCAGAUAUCAGGAGGAACACCGAUGGCGAAGGCAGGUCUCUGGGCUGUAACUGACGAUGAGGAGCGAAAGCAUGGGGAGCGAACAGGAUUAGAUACCCUGGUAGUCCAUGCCGUAAACGUUGGGCACUAGGUGUGGGGACCAUUCCACGGUUUCCGCGCCGCAGCUAACGCAUUAAGUGCCCCGCCUGGGGAGUACGGCCGCAAGGCUAAAACUCAAAGGAAUUGACGGGGGCCCGCACAAGCGGCGGAGCAUGCGGAUUAAUUCGAUGCAACGCGAAGAACCUUACCAAGGCUUGACAUGUUCUCGAUCGCCGUAGAGAUACGGUUUCCCCUUUGGGGCGGGUUCACAGGUGGUGCAUGGUUGUCGUCAGCUCGUGUCGUGAGAUGUUGGGUUAAGUCCCGCAACGAGCGCAACCCUCGUUCCAUGUUGCCAGCACGUAAUGGUGGGGACUCAUGGGAGACUGCCGGGGUCAACUCGGAGGAAGGUGAGGACGACGUCAAAUCAUCAUGCCCCUUAUGUCUUGGGCUUCACGCAUGCUACAAUGGCCGGUACAAUGGGUUGCGAUACUGUGAGGUGGAGCUAAUCCCAAAAAGCCGGUCUCAGUUCGGAUUGGGGUCUGCAACUCGACCCCAUGAAGUCGGAGUCGCUAGUAAUCGCAGAUCAGCAACGCUGC
rnacentral:rRNA from 1 species